AUGAAUGAGUCAACAGCUUAAACAAGAGAUUUCAGAAAGUAAAAGAAAACCUGCGUAAGCACCACUACUUGUGGCUCCGGCGGUUGGCUAUUCAGUCAGCGGAUAAACACAGGUGCGUACCAACUGCGUCAAUCACACCCAGCUGGCAGGACAGCAGAGCGCAUGUGCAUACCAACUUCCAGCCGAGGCGACCAAUAGGAGAGGUCUGCCUGCGCUUGCACAAAAGGAGACGCUGGCGUUUCCUUCCGGUCCUCUUCACCGUGGUUGUCGCACGCACGUUUGUGACUAUCUUCUUUGGGAACCCCCAGCCCCCAUUGAGGAAGUAACAUUUCAUACAGCCCUUGGUACAGAGCGGAUUUUCAAAUGGCUUAUUCAGUGGAAUAAAAAGAUUUCUAGAACACCCCCUGUGAUGAACCAUGGCUUGUCAUGGCCAACUGGUAAAACUGAGGCCCUAAAUGUAAGACCAAAGAAAAAUGAUACUCUUUGACCUGCUUCUCUUUGCUUCGGUUUUUUACCUGCUCCUGGACAUCUUCAAACUCUGAACUGAGCAACUCUAUGAAGAUGGGCACAGCUCCUGCCUGAAUCACAAUCCGGGUCUGAAGAGAAUUUCCUGAAGCAAUAUUUGUCAGUACCCAAGCUGAUUCAAACUAUAAAGAUAAAAAUAAUUUUAUUAUCUUA